GCUGCUGACGACCGCCUUG
rnacentral:miRNA from 1 species